UAACCCGCCGGUGCUCUCUCCUCCUCGCCGGUGCUCUCUCCUCGUCGUCGUCCCGCUUGAAGCGGUGCUCUCUCCUCCUCUUCGCCGCCUUCUCUCAUCAACCCGGAAAAAGAUUUGUUGGGAGAACUGGAAUUGGGGCUGAUCUUCAAUAGAAAUCGGUGGCUUUCUCCUCCUCAGAAAUGAUCGAUCAUCCAUUUCUUCUUCAAAGUACAUCUAAAUUUCAAAAAUUUGUGCAACUUCAUCUAUCGCUGGCAAAUCAUCAGUUCAUGAUUUUACAGUCAAGGUGGAGUGUAUACCUCUACUUWGUUCAAGCGAGUUUCUUUAACGAUGAUGAUUUGAAUUUUACAUGUCAUUUUUAGCAUGAAAAGUGACAGUGUUGUUAUAGAAGCUCUGUUAGCAAUGGGCAUCAAGUACCUACAUGAGUAGCAGGAUUUGGUACAUUUAUAUACAAGCCAUAUAAUAUYUCAUACCGAGAGACUAUGUUUGAAAUACAAAAUGGAACAGAGGUGCUUUCUAGAGUUGCGGCACCCUAAUCUUGUGUCUUUGCCUGGCUAUUGUAAUCAUGGAAAAGAGAGAUGCUUGUUUAUGAAUAUAUGCCCAAUGGAACACUUGAAGAUAAUCUCCAUACUUGGUACCCCUCUUUCUUGGCUUCAGCAACUCAACAUCUGCAUAGUUGCUGGUCGUGGGUUACACUACCUUUACAUUGGUACAGGAAUUCGGGUUGGGGUUAUACAUCGUGAUGUCAAGAGCUUAGAUAUUAAUAUUAUAUUGUAUAGAAGUUGGGCAACAACAUAUAGGACUGGGGGUUUGUUCAAAAUAGGCCCAACGAAUAAACUAUCAAUUUGUAUCGACACACUUGUUCAAGGUACUUUUGGGUACCCGGAUCUUGAUUAUUAUGCAACUGGAAAGCAGAAAAUCUGAUGUGUAUGCCGCUAUGCCUAACAUUGAACACAUUAGACUUACUUGUCAGCUUUCGAGUUGUGUAAUAGUUGGGAUCCAGAUACCCAAAAGUACCUUUAUCAUUGUCUUGAUAUAAGUGGAUGGCUGAUUAGUUGGCCUUGACAACCCAAAGUCCGGAAGUUUUUGCUGCCCAACUUUCAUUUAACAAAAUAUUUGAGCUUUUGACAUCACGAUGUAUAACCCCAAUCAAAAUUUGCGGUCAUUUUCUUGGAAGUGCUUUGUUGGAAGCAUGUAGUGGAUACACUCUUGAUGUGGACUGCUGGAGUUUUGCAAGAUGGGCUCAAGAAUUUAUUGAAGAAGACAAUCUAAAGCAUAUCAUUGGUUCUGGUAUAAGGGGUCAAAUAACCCCAAAAUGUUUGAAGGAGUUUGUUCUAAUUGCAGAGAGAUGUUUGCAUGGCAAUCCAAAACAGCUCUACCAUACAGAGGUUGUGGCCAGUACACUGACCUCACCUGAGAAAUUCAGUAAUUCAUUGCAACAUGCAGACAUGAUAAUAUUUGGUAGAAUGGCUGAUUGUCUUUCCAAUACAAGCUCUCAUCGCUCCGCACACUCUCAUCACUCUGCACGCUCUCAUCGAUUUCCCUCCUAAAGGAAUGAUGCAAAUUGACGAUUCACACUCCUCUAAGAAGAUUGUCUUCCCAAUACAAGCUCUCAUCGCUUCGCACGCUCUCAUCGAUUUCCCUCCUAAAUUAAUGAUGCAUAAAUUGACGAUUCAAGCUCCCGUAUGAUGAUUACUUAUUCAGGAUCACCAUGUAAUGGCUCCACACACUCGCGAUCCAUGCUUCGAAUACAGCUAGGGUUCCAAUCGAGGGUUCUUCCCAGAUGGCCUUACUCUCGAUCAGAGGCAUUGGAGUGAGCUACAGAUUAUUAUUCCCUUCUCCCCUUUGUGCAUUUCUGUUUUACAUUUAAUCUUCACUGGGAAAUGGCAUAAGAAAUUUAAAUUUCCACUUUGUUUCAAACCUUAAAGGCCAUUACCUAUCAUCAAUCCUUGUUCAAAACAGUAUAUACUUUCAUAUUGUCAUAAAACUCUUGGACAAUUUCCACUUUGGGAUACCCAUUGCAGGCUACAGAGUUUUCUCUGUUAGAAGUUUAUAGACUAAAAUCUAAAUGUCUGGGGAUAGUCAUUAUUGAUUUUGUUCACAUGGUUUAAUCCCUCCCAAACCAAAUGUGAAGUUUGACUAGGCAUAUAUUCCAAAGAGACUUUGAUGUUGCAGUCUGGUUAGGGCUCGAUCAUCUCUCAUCUACUCAUUCCAAUCGAGAGAGAGUAAACAGAAGCGUGAGGAGUUAUUACAGAAGUGGUCAGAAGGGCAUACUCGACAUCGUUCUUCAGCUCGUAUUUUGAUGGGAGAUGAGCCGGAAAAGUAUCGGUCUCACUUCUCUGAAUACAUUAAAGCUGGAGUUGACCCGUAAAACAUUGAAGAGCUGUACAAGAAGAUGCAUUAAGCCAUUCAUGCUGAUCCAACCCCAAAGAAGUUGGAGAAACAGCCUCCAAAGGAGCACACAAGAGGUUCAACUUGAAGAAGCUAACAUAUGAUGAGAGGAAGGAGAAGCUUAUUGAGAGACUGAAUGCUCUGAAUGCGGCAUCUGGUGGUGCAGAUGAUGAAUGAAAACAUGUUUGAUUUUGAAUUAUUUGAAAAGAAAAUUGAAAACAGUUCAAUUUUGCAUGCUUUGAUGAAUUUUUUAGAAUGAGGGUGGAGAUAUUUGGAGACAUAGUGGAUUAUC